CUAUUUUCUACUGGGUUAGCUUCCUUUGGUUUAUCUCUGUCUCACUUCCUCAGCAUUAUUACCCAUCAGUUGUACCGUAGCGUCAGUUUGUACAGUCGGAAGUAAAAAAUGGCGGAAAUAAAAUUAUUUUACGAGAGGAAAUUCUUUCUACGGUGACUGUACUUACUAUAGUUUCAGUCGGGGACCUGAUAUAUUUUAUGUGGGUAGAUUUGAAAAAUAGGAGGGAAAUUUGAGGAGAGAUUUUGGGUGAGUUUUUUUUAGUUUUUGUUCUUGGGUUUUGGUAAUUUGGGGCUGGGAGGAAAGCAGGGUAAAAACGCGGGAAAAUUUG